rnacentral:rRNA from 1 species
GUACAACUUUGAGCGGUGGAUCACUCGGCUCGUGCGUCGAUGAAGAGCGCGGCCGGCUGCGUGAAUUAAUGUGAAUUGCAGAACACA